CUAUAAAUAAAACACGUGCUGCCAGAGUAACUGUUCUUCUUUCUCUGGCAAAUGAGUCAUUUCUUAUUUUACUUUUAAAAUCUGUAUUGUUAAGGCACAUGUGUGUAUUUGGGCUCUCAGCACAGACAGCUUUUACACUAGGUUCGUGUUGCUGUUCCUCCAUGUGGUGUUUGCACUCAGAGAUGGAUUUCACACACACCACAGAGAAAUGUGUACUGGGCUGCUGCUGAGCUGACAGGCAAACCUGGUGCUGCUCAGAAGCUGGUAAGCAGAGGAGGGUUGGGAAAUGGUUGGUGUGUUAUUUCAGUGACUCCAGAUCCUCUGUGCUCUGGUUCACAAUUGUGAUAAACUGUGGUAACUUGUUUGUUCAUCAAAAGAAUUGGAAUAUUAAAGGAGGAAAUAUAAAAAUUAAAGUAUGAUUAAUCACCAUAUAGGGAGCUUUUUGUAGCUUUUUUGCAGACACAGGCUAAGGAUGUCGGGGGAUGGCCGGAGCUGAUUAUGAAAUCAGCGACCACCAGGCAACGGCCACCGGACUAGACAACGUAGGAGUGCUCCGGGUACGCCCAUCACUGUCCGGAGCCGAUUGUGAAAUCAGCGAUCACCUGCCUCGACACAACGCAGACACGAUGCAGAGGGAUGCUCAAGCUACGCACACCACUAUCGCAAGAGACACGAAUGAAGAAACCUCCAAGAAACUAUAAAAAGAAACUGAAUAAGGGAGUGGGGUGUGGGGCACUGCAGUGUGGGACACUGCAGGAGGGGCGGUUAGGAGACCCCUACCCACCCAGCGCUGUUUUGCUUGCUACUGCUUGCUGUAAUUAAUAAAAUUCUAAUUGACCUUAAAAAGGCUGAAUCAAAUUAUUCACCUCAGUUUAUCACAAUUUGGUGCCGUGACUCGGAUAAAGGAAACCCGGGAGGGAGGCCUCACUAGGGUGAGGCGCCCCACCGCCUUUUUGCGGUGGACCUAAGGGGGGGCUUCCUCCUUGGGCCUUUACCGAUGAACCUAAAACUCAGUAGCAAGCAAAGGUACCCCCGUUAAUCUUUGUGCAUGAAGAACCGCGGAAGAGUGAACACGCAGGAAGCAAACGGCAGUCAGGACGGCCGAAAAGGGGUGGACUCACGCCAGCCGAGUGAAAGGCCCGGUUGCCACAAAUAACCAGUGGAGAGUGACUAGCCAGCCUGGGAACUUGAAAGUGACUCUUAAGAAAAACUAAUGAACUCUGUGGACAUUAUCCAAAUCAACCAUAAGGGGAAGCAAAGGGAUACAAUUACAAAAGACUAUAUAGUGAUUUGUAAUAAGGAAGGUUGUGGAGAUUGUUACCCUUUUGUGUGCUUUAUAUGUAAAAUUUGCCAAGAACGGUGGUGGGUCCAUUGCCAGAGGGGAAGACCACCAAUUGGGGUUUGUACUGAGUGCUAUAAAACUCAGCGAAAACUAACUGAAACUGUGCUAAGGAUAGGAGAAUUGGAAAAUCGGUGGGUCAGUUUUGGAUCUGAGUGGUGGGAAAUAUUCUUGUUUUCAUACUAACGAGCCCACUCCAUUUGCUGCUCAGAUAAUAAAAGGGUGUUGUCGAAAGGAACUGAAGGGGAUUCCUUGCAAUCCACCUCUGGUCAAAGAUAAGAACUGGGAACAGUACAAGGCUAGGCAGGAGCGGAAAAGGGGACGCUCAGGCGAGUACUGCUGCUGCCGAGAAGAUGGUUUACCUCGCGGCUCGAAGCACCCGAGUCGGCGAGCGAGGCAGAGAGGAAAAGGCCAAGCCCCCUCUAAGUGGAACAAUGCUGAAAUGCUCCAACUAUUGCCAGCCGAGUACUAGGAUCCCUCAAAGGACCAGUCUAAGUGCCUCCGAAACACCAAGGGAGCAGCAAGCCAAAAAGGGGAAAACAGGAUAUUACGUAACAAAAACAAGGCUAGGACUCCACCCUUAUUGGCAAAUUAUUAGUUUUCUGUUGCUCUGUCCUAGUGGUAUUUCUAGUCAGGACAAUGCUGAACACUUUACUUCUAGCCUACGAAGAAGCAAAGCGAUUUGAUGAACAAAAUGGUAAAAGAGAAAAUGGGGGAUUGUGAUAAACUGUGGUAACUUGUUUGUUCAUCAAAAGAAUUGGAAUAUUAAAGGAGGAAAUAUAAAAAUUAAAGUAUGAUUAAUCACCA